ACAUGUUCGGAUAUUCCAACUGACUUCUCCCUACAACUCGGGGGCUGAAUCCAGAUCUAACGUUGAGAUCGUGAAAUCUACAAAGGAUAAGCAGCCCUGCCUUUCAAUACCCAACAGAUGUGAAGUCCCACCUCCUCCGGCUCAGAGGCAAUGGAGUCAGCUCAUAAUGGACCAAAGCCUCAGAACCUGCAAGCACAAUGAAUAUUUCUACCUUUAA
ensembl:lincRNA Gm40331 predicted gene, 40331